CCUACGGGAGGCAGCAGUGAGGAAUAUUGGUCAAUGGGCGCGAGCCUGAACCAGCCAAGUAGCGUGAAGGAUGACUGCCCUCCGGGUUGUAAACUUCUUUUAUCAAGGAAUAAAGUGAGGCUCGUGUGCCUUGUUGUAUGUACUUUAUGAUUAAGGAUCGGCUAACUCCGCGCCAGCAGCCGCGGUAAUAAGGAGGAUCCGAGCGUUUUCUGGUUUUAUUGGGUUUAAAGGGAGCGUAGAGGGGUUGUUAAGUUAGUUGUGAAAGUUUGCGGCUCAACCGUAGAAUUGCAGUUGAUACUGGCGGUCUAGAGUACAGUUGAGGUAGGCGGAAUUCGUGGUGUAGCGGUGAAAUGCUGAGAUAUCACGAAGAACACCGAUUGCGAAGGCAGCUUACUGGACUGCCACUGACGUUGAGGCACGAAAGUGUGGGUAUCAAACAGGAUUAGAUACCCGAGUAGUC
rnacentral:rRNA from 1 species